rnacentral:rRNA from 1 species
UACGGGGGGGGCAAGCGUUGUUCGGAAUUACUGGGCGUAAAGGGCUGGUAGGCGGCCAACUAAGUCAGACGUGAAAUCCCCAGGCUCAACCUGGGAACUGCGUCUGAUACUGGAUGGCUUGAAUUCGGGAGAGGGAUGCAGAAUUCCAGGUGUAGCGGUGAAAUGCGUAGAUAUCUGGAGGAAUACCGGUGGCGAAGGCGGCAUCCUGGACCGACAUUGACGCUGAACAGCGAAAGCUAGGGGAGCAAACGGG